rnacentral:lncRNA from 1 species
CUUCGUAUUUGUUUAUAAUUAUUGAUACACUUUGAUGUGUAAAUAUAUCGGUAAAAAAAUUAUGUUCAAUAAAUAUAGUCUAAAUAAGCCUCAAGCAAGAACUCAUAAAAUUGGCAGUUAAAGUAAAUCAAAAAGAUUGAAUUUGUUUACAAAGAAAAGUAUUAUGGAAAUAGCAUCUUCUCAAUUGCUAAAAUCUAUUUAUUCUGGUCAAUUAUACAGUUACAGACAUAACUGGUUUAUUGCUGGUGGAGAAGAUAAAAGUUUGUAUUAUAUAAAAAUAUAGGACUUAACACUCUAUUAUUUCAUUUGUUUUAUUUUUAUUUUUAUUUUUUUUCUGAUUAUUUGAAAUGUUUUUGCAUUUCUAUUUAUUUAUUUAGAAAAUCUUUGUAACGGAGAUCUUCUUAGUCUUUUGUCAGAAGAUCAAUCACAUGAUCUUUUUAAUGCUUUUGUUUUAGCUUUUAACAAGUUGAAGGAUAGUGACUAUGUAUUUAAAGUUUUAAUGCCUGAAUCAAUUGUAUUUUUAUUUGCUAACGCUAGUAAUGUGUCAAGAAUAAAGGCUGAAGUAGCUCUGAGUGCUUACAUUUCUGAAAGAGAUAAAAAACGUUUCUGUAGCUCACCAGAAGCAUAUUGUACGACUGAAAUCCCUUGAAGAUAUUGGCAAAUCAUCUAAAAGUUCUAAUGAUUUAGAUAUAAAGACAACUAUUAUGAUUGAUGAACCACCUGGAUGUUCAGCAAAUGCGCAGAUACAGGGGAAGGGGGGUAAUGUGGGUAAUGCAUUACCCCCACCAGACUUUCAAUUGUUUUUUUUUACUCAAAUGAAUGUGUUGUGGUGGUUUCAAUCAAAACGUUUUAAAGCUUAAUCAAAUUGGCUGUCGUUUUGCACAUGAGCUAAGUUCCAGUAUUUGUGUGUUGAAUCGCCUUGUUUUAAAAUCGCCUGUAUUUACUAUCUUAAUAUACUAUGGAAUAUUACUAAAUAUACUUAAUAUACUAAAAAGGCGUAAGAUGACAGACUAUUUUCAACAAAAGUAAUAGUUUUUUUAUAAAGUGUAAAAGUUUUUUUUC